rnacentral:rRNA from 1 species
AUUGAACGCUGGCGGCAGGCCUGACACAUGCAAGUCGAACGGUAACAGGAAACAGCUUGCUGUUUCGCUGACGAGUGGCGGACGGGUGAGUAAUGUCUGGGAAACUGCCUGAUGGAGGGGGAUAACUACUGGAAACGGUAGCUAAUACCGCAUAACGUCGCAAGACCAAAGAGGGGGACCUUCGGGCCUCUUGCCAUCGGAUGUGCCCAGAUGGGAUUAGCUUGUUGGUGGGGUAACGGCUCACCAAGGCGACGAUCCCUAGCUGGUCUGAGAGGAUGACCAGCCACACUGGAACUGAGACACGGUCCAGGCUCCUACGGGAGGCAGCAGUGGGAAUAUUGCACAAUGGGCGCAAGCCUGAUGCAGCCAUGCCGCGUGUAUGAAGAAGGCCUUCGGGUUGUAAAGUACUUUCAGCGGGGAGGAAGGGAGUAAAGUUAAUACCUUUGCUCAUUGACGUUACCCGCAGAAGAAGCACCGGCUAACUCCGUGCCAGCCGCCGCGGUAACAC